UUUGCGAGCUUAGUCUGGGGAAUUGUCCCAAACUAACGGGGAAAAUACCGUUAGACUACUUCCCAAGACUUGAGCGGCUAAGUUUGCAGAACGUUAAAAUCGUAUAUUUUGUGGGUGGUGGAGUGUUGCUUGCGCCCAACUUGUGGUCAGUGCCAGAAGAUCUGCAAAUCUCGCUCCCAUCUCUUCAGUCUCUGUCCAUAGAAGGGUGUAAAGAAUUUAAAUCAUUUCCGGAAGAAUCUAAAUUCCCAUCCCUAAAAAAUUUGAAGAUAAAGGAGUGCCCAGAAUUUGUUGGUUUCCCCCAUGGGGGAGGACUGCAAGCGCCCAACUUGAAGACGAUGCAAAUCAAAGAAUGUAACAAAUUCAGGUCACUGCCAGAGGAGAUGCACGCUUCUCUCCCGUCCCUUCAGUGUCUGUCCAUAGAAGGGUGUAAAGAAUUUGUGGGUUUCCCCCAUGGAGGAGGACUGCAAGCGCCCAACUUGAAGAUGAUGCAAAUCAACGAAUGUAACAAAUUCAGGUCACUGCCAGAGGAGAUGCAAAUCUCUCUCCCGUCUCUCUCGUCUUUGUAUAUAUGGGAUUCUCCAGAAUUGGAAUCAUUUCCGGAAGGGGGAUUGCCGUCCAAAUUGCGUUACCUCAUUAUCUGGUGUUGUAAAAAACUGAUGGCAAACCGUAUGCGGUGGGGUCUACAAACACUCACCUCUCUCAAAUUCUUGGAUGUCAGCUUCUCAGGAUGUGAAGAAGAAGAAAUUGUCGAAUCAUUUCCAGAAGAGGGGCUGCUGCCAAUCACUCUCACUUCUCUCGGAAUCUCCCAUCAUCCGAAUCUGAAAACCAUUGACGGCAAGGCCUUAAGACACAUCAUCUCUCUCGAGGAGUUGUAUAUUUUUUAUUGUCCUCAACUCCAGAGCUUGCCAGAUGAAGGGCUACCCACUUCUCUUUCUUUUCUACAUAUCACCGGGUCUGAUUUGCUAACACAACGGUGUCAGAGAGACACAGGAGAAGAUUGGCCCAAGAUUUCUCACAUCCCCAACGUAAGGAUUAAUGACCGAAAGAUAUGAUUUGCAAUGCAUUGGACAGCUACCAUCUCUCAGAAGGCUUGAAACUGAUGGGUUAAAUGGAGUGGAAUUGUUUCAGUGUUGGUUCUACUCUCCCUCUUUUCUUACUGUGUCUUAUGGUGGUUUCAUUAUACGACAGUUUGUUGUAUCGAACUAGUCCUCGGGGAAAAAGGAGCUUCAACAAGUUUACGAAAUUACGACCUCUAGUUUCCAAAUCUCCUUUUUCAAGUUUUUUUUUUCCAAAUCAUGUCUAUUGAGAGGUAGAUUUUGGUACUUUGUGGAAUUUGAAUUCAAACGCUUGGUUUGUAAAAUAUGGAUGAUGAAUUUCGUUUCUGUGGAACUGUGAAUCAAUGAUCAUGCAUGAAUGUUGUAAGACUAGAGUAUCAAAAACCCUCUGUUUACUAA